rnacentral:rRNA from 1 species
AUUGAACGCUGGCGGCAGGCCUAACACAUGCAAGUCGAGCGCGCGGCGGACGGGAGAGUAAUGUCUGGAAAACUGCCUGAUGGAGGGGGAUAACCACGGGAAACGGUAGCUAAUCCCACAUACCAUGAGAUGCGCACAUAUGGGAUGCGAGAGUAGGUGGGGUAGUGGCUCCCCUAGGCGACGACCCCUAGCUGGUCUGAGAGGAUGAACAGCCACACUGGAACUGAGACACGGUCCAGACUCCUACGGGAGGCAGCAGUGGGGAAUAUUGCACAAUGGGCGCAAGCCUGAUGCAGCCAUGCCGCGUGUAUGAAGAAGGCCUUCGGGUUGUAAAGUACUUUCAGCGGGGAGGCGUUACCCGCAGAAGAAGCACCGGCUAACUCCGUGCCAGCAGCCGCGGUAAUUC